rnacentral:lncRNA from 1 species
UCUGCCCCGCGGGUGCGGGCUGCUGCGGGCCCUCUGCCUCGGGGUUUUGUGUUGAUUUAAGUAGCUGCGGUGGAAAAUUCCCCAGUGUAACUGUUCUUCUGUGGGAGCGGCACUAAUGUACUCACGGCAUCUUUACGCCAGCGAGCCGAGCGCACGGAGGUGACAUUCACUCACACGUUUACACAAAUGGAAACUUGGCAUUCAUGAGUCACUGAUCUUAAUGUGGGAUUAAGAACAAAAACCUAUGCUUCUUGACACCUACCGUCAGGUCUUCAGUGAACUGAGGGCUCAGUCUUCGGUGCUGUUCAGGGAACAUCUUCAAUUUCUCAGGGAGCACUGAAAACAAAAUGCUCCCCCUCUAACAGGACUGACCCUAAAGAAACUGGAUUUGCCUGGAUACAGCUGGAACAAGAAUCUGACCCUAAGGACUGUGCUGUGGAAGAUUUGCAGCUCUUUACAUUAGAGCAGAAAUUAGGUAAUGUUUCUGUUACUUAUAAUUAAG